UAUUGACAUAUUAGUGUCGUUCAUGAUUAAAGGAUAACAACCAUUUCUCUUUCGAAUUGUCUUCGCUAACGGCGUGGUUCCAUAAUGAAACUUUUAAAAAAUAGGCGUCGGAGCACAGUUGGCGUCCCAACGCUUACCUCUGUCGUUCGGAAAUCGUGCGCGCAGAACGUCGAGUUAUGUUACCCGAACUAGCAACGUUUUGGACUCCACUAUUACAUUCUUAAAACAUUUUCUACGAAGAAAAUUACGGCACCACCUCAUUGAUAACAUUACCGUUGAUAUGAUUAUGAUUAUGGAGGAACAUGCAUACAUUUAAGGUUCGGCUCACAAGCGCUUCCUCGUUCGCUGCAUCGCAUUCAUAACGUGAAAUUUAGAGCAGAUCACUGGUCCCGAGCUUCGAGCCUGCUUCUGGUUUCCUGCUGUGGUCUUCUGCUUCAAGCAACGGGCUGCCUGCUUCGGGCUUCGACUUCAAGCAACGGGCUGCCUGCUUCGGGCUUCGACUUCAAGCAACGGGCGACGUGCUUCGAGCUUCAGGUCUCGAGAAUCUACAAUAGAUGCCAACAGUUCCAAGAAUUAGUAGCUGUUAUCAAAACUCGCAUAGAACGAUA